UAGUGAUCCUGGCUCAGGAUGAACGCUAGCGGCAGGCUUAACACAUGCAAGUCGAGGGGUAUAGUUCUUCGGAAUUAGAGACCGGCGCACGGGUGCGUAACGCGUAUGCAAUCUACCUUUUACAGAGGGAUAGCCCAGAGAAAUUUGGAUUAAUACCUCAUAGUAUAAUGACUUGGCAUCAAGACAUUAUUAAAGUCACAACGGUAAAAGAUGAGCAUGCGUCCCAUUAGCUAGUUGGUAAGGUAACGGCUUACCAAGGCUACGAUGGGUAGGGGUCCUGAGAGGGAGAUCCCCCACACUGGUACUGAGACACGGACCAGACUCCUACGGGAGGCAGCAGUGAGGAAUAUUGGACAAUGGGCGCAAGCCUGAUCCAGCCAUGCCGCGUGCAGGAUGACGGUCCUAUGGAUUGUAAACUGCUUUUAUACGAGAAGAAACACUACUUCGUGAAGUAGCUUGACGGUAUCGUAAGAA
rnacentral:rRNA from 1 species